rnacentral:rRNA from 1 species
UAGGGAAUCUUCCGCAAUGGACGCAAGUCUGACGGAGCAACGCCGCGUGAGUGAAGAAGGAUUUCGGUUCGUAAAACUCUGUUGUUAGAGAAGAACAGCGCAUAGAGUAACUGUUAUGCGUGUGACGGUAUCUAACCAGAAAGCCACGGCUAACUACGUGCCAGCAGCCGCGGUAAUACGUAGGUGGCAAGCGUUGUCCGGAUUUAUUGGGCGUAAAGCGAGCGCAGGCGGUCAAUUAAGUCUGAUGUGAAAGCCCCCGGCUCAACCGGGGAGGGUCAUUGGAUACUGGUUGACUUGAGUGCAGAAGAGGAGAGUGGAAAUCCAUGUGUAGCGGUGAAAUGCGUAGAUAUAUGGAGGAACACCAGUGGCGAAGGCGACUCUCUGAUCUGUAACUGACGCUGAGGCUCGAAAGCGUGGGUAGCAAACAGG